UAGGGAAUCUUCCACAAUGGACGCAAGUCUGAUGGAGCAACGCCGCAUGAGUGAAGAAGGGUUUCGGCUCGUAAAGCUCUGUUGUUAAAGAAGAACGUGGGUAAGAGUAACUGUUUACCCAGUGACGGUAUUUAACCAGAAAGCCACGGCUAACUACGUGCAAG
rnacentral:rRNA from 1 species